CUGACAGUAUUCAAUGGUGUAUAUGUGUGUACCUAUAGGGGGGAUCUUACGAGCACAUGAAUUAAUUAAAGCCUCCACAGGAUUUUGUUCCUAGCUCAUGCAAGGAUUACACAGAAUGAUGUGAAAAAUAUCCGAUGAGCUGAAGUUCAGCAGGUGGAAACGCCUCGUUGAGAAGAAAGAGGAGAGGUCUUUCAGAGUGGUCUGAGCUGACAGAAAGGCUACAGUAACUCAAAUAACUCUACAAGCGUGCCACAUGUGAAACAGGAUUUCCAUGCAAUCGCUGUCUUUCCUGACGUCAAAAGCUUGACUUUAAUCUUGUCACAGUUAAAGGAGCAUCAGAAAACCAAUCCCAACAGCUUCUGUUGUGUGACACAUUAGUUCUGUAUUCAAGACUGCCAGUGUCAAGUCCAAGACAAGUCCAAGACCAUCACUAGCCGAGAUCGAGUCAAGACCAAGUCCUAAGAGGGUCGAAGGCCAAGAUCAAGACCAAAAACCAUCAAAUCCUUUUCAAGGCUGAGUCUUUACUUUUUGUGCAAAGCACCAAGUGGUUGGCUGUUUUCCUAGAAAAGGAAUUACUUCUUGUUAAACUUUGUGCAUGUGAAAAAUAAAAGAAAACAUGAACAAUUUUUUUUUUUUUUUUACCAACUCUCAGUCAAAACCAAUACCAUAUUUAGCCACCAACAAUCUGGUUGUACAAACAUAACUAUUUUUGGAUCAAAAUCAAGAAGAAAAAUCAAGAACAACAGCAUUAUUGUGCAAACAUAAAACCUCCCAAAUAAAUAUUUUGCAGUAAAGUGACUUGAGACCUCAAACCUAAUUUGUUUUCUGAAAAGAAGAACAUAAUAGGAUUAAUUAAAAACGGUAUAAACAUGAACUGUUUAAGAAAAUGAAAUAAAAUAGUAGCAUUUAUCAAUGCUACUCAGCUAUUUUGCUGAUAAAAUAGCUAACUACUGUGGACAGGCUCAUGUAGAUCUGAGGUUUUGCCAGAUUGGUGAUGUAAUUAUCACUAAAAUCUUAUUAGAUUAUUUUGUACAUGUAAAAACAUUCAAACGUUGCCUUGGCUUCUGAAGCCAGGAGCACUCUACUCCAGUGUUUCCUCAGCUGGGUUCUGAAGUUUCCUGCACUGCAUGUCUUGUUUUUCCUGCUCGAACACACUUGAUCCAAAGAAUCAGCUAAUUAACCGACCUGCUUUUUUUCCGAGUCAACAGGAGUGUGUUAGAGCAGAACCAAUCUCUACGCUACUGAACCAUUGUGUCUUUAGCCUUGUUUUGGUCUUUCAGUUCUACCAGGGGAAUGAGAAAGGAAGGGAGGGAAAGAGAUACAGACAGAAUAAGUACACUAUAGUCCUAUCUUUUUUUUUUUUUUUUUGGGAAAAAAAACAUUCUCUUUUACAUUCUUUUGGAAGUACUCUUGGUUUAAAAGGACUUCACUUUUUAAUGCCUAGAAGCUUAACUGUUACACUUCAAGUAGUAUAUAGGAUUAAUUCAUUCAUCCACAACUGAAUGAUGAAAGUGACAGAGAGUGAGGUAAAAAUUGUGUCUGUUCUUAUAUGCACUGAAGGAUAGAUGGAUGGAUAGAUGGAUGGAUGGAUGGACAGAUGGAUGGAUAUAUGGAGGCUGGUUUUAGUGAGGUCUAAGGUUGUAUGGUGUAUGAUUAAACAUUCACCCCAAUAAACUACACACAUAACUGCUCUUAUGUGUAGCAAUGGAUGGAUGGAUGGAUGGAUGGACGGAUGGAUGGAUGGAUGGAUGGAUGGUGUUAGUG